GACUGUUCUCAGUUCGGACUGCAGUCUGCAACUCGACUGCACGAAGCUGGAAUCGCUAGUAAUCGCGGAUCAGCACGCCGCGGUGAAUACGUUCCCGGGCCUUGUACACACCGCCCGUCACACCAUGGAAGUCUGCAAUGCCCGAAGCCGGUGGCCUAACCACUUAUGUGGAAGGAGCCGUCUAAGGCAGGGCAGAUGACUGGGGUGAAGUCGUAACAAGGUAUC
rnacentral:rRNA from 1 species